UCUCAACUCAGCUGCAGCCUCCAGCUCCUCAGGGCCCAGGACCAUUCCACCCACACUGCUGCCCCCAUUCCCGCUCUGGGCUCCAUCUGGGUGCUGAUGCUCAGCCUUGACUAAAUCUUAAGAAACUUUUUGAACCAAAGUCACUGACACUUCUGUCUAGUUCAGGGCCUCACAUCACCAUGGCUAUCUACCUCCAUAGGAGGUGAUGGUUUUUAGGAGAAUAGACAGAGCUAGCUGGCAAAGCCAACUCUUAUUCUAAUUCACAGUUGUUUACCUCCCAGAGGUUCCAUCCAAUAGAGAAUGUUCUUACAGUCCUUU
rnacentral:lncRNA from 1 species